rnacentral:lncRNA from 1 species
UGUGUACUUAAAAGAAAAAAAUGCAAAAUUUGGCUGUAAAUUCUUGCAGAAAAAUUAUUGUUUGUGUAAAAAAUUCCAAAAAAGAAAAAAAAAACUCUAAUGUGAUGUAUAGUGUAUUUAUUUUAAUUCAAGCCUGUAUGAAUUUUUUACGAAAUACCUUAUAUUAAUGUGAAUUUUACUGACGCAUCUAAUAAUCUCUUUUCUCUAAUCACAUGAUUAAUUACCUUAUAGAUGUUGAUUAAUUUUGUGCCACUUAUAUUCACGAAAUAUUUAUGAUCAUCAAUAGUAUAACUCCUAUGUGUAUUAAAAGACAUGUAUCCAAAUAAAAUAUGCUGUUGUACAAUUAAAAGUUAUAAUGGACUGAUAAAUAUUUUUUCAUCGUUGAUCAAAAGUUUCGAAUGCAAAUUUUGCGAACAAAAUCACUUUUGAUAUGAAACGCUUCAUAUCCGAAGUGAGACUUUUCUAUAUGAAUUUGAAUAGUCGAACCUCUAAUGCUAUGUGUACCGAACACCGAGGGAAAAGUCCAUCCUAUACAUGACACAUCAUUUCAACUAAUGUGUAUAAGAGAGCUCACCCAACCAUCAACCACUCAAAAGUGACUUCAAAGAAACACUACACAGACUUUUUAAAAACGGCAAUGGCCGCAUAUCGGAUUCUCUAAAAUAGUGUAUUUUUAAAGAAUUCGAUACGAAUGUAGCAUAGAAAGUGAAGAGUCCGUGCAACUUAUCUUCAAACAUAAAUGUACUACAAACUUCAUAUAUACACUAAACAUCUUUAUUGCUCGAAGUAGGAAACAUAAUAACUUUAUUAAACACACUAAUCACAAACAAAAUACACUCAAAACUCAAACAUUAACACAACAUUAACCACUACUUAGGCCAUAGGGUCUAAUACAUAAAAACACACAUUAAUUAGCUUAUAAACACAAGUAAAAUACUUAAUGAGAACCAAUUACUAAAUGACAAGAUUAGCAUAAUCUAACUUGCCUUUGAUAUUAUUAUUUUUUUAACUAUAAAUAUAUAGUAAUUUCUAUAUAUAGAGUCCAUCAAGAGACUCAAAUGCCAAAGGAUAAAGAAGUUGCCCUUAAUUUCAUGAAGAAAAUGGUAAUCACCUUACACCAUGGGACUAAUCAAGAUUAAUAUUAAUUAAUCAUGACUAUUAAUCAAGAUUAAUCUUCAUAAUCUGACGAUCCCAGUCUUUUUUGUUUGCGCAGUAGUUCUUCCUCUUCCUCCAUCGAACGAAAAUUACUAUAUAUUAAGAAAAUUACACUUAGAGAGUACUUUGAUUAACUUAUAAUAAGGAGGGAAUUAAUAUUUGGUGAUGUUCAUGAAGACAAAUAUAUAAAGAGUGAAAUGAAGGUGACUUAAUUAGUAGCUAGGGAGAAUAUAAUUAAUGUGAUCACUUUUAGGUAAAGUACAAAUAAAAAUGAACCAACAUGGGUUGUGGACCUGUGGUGCAGUGGUGAGACUAUUUUAUCCUUAACAAGAGGUCUCGGAUUCGAGCCCUGAGUAUAGAGAAAAUCUUGUUGGGAACGUCACUCCCAGAAUGAGCCCUGCAGUGCGCAAUCCGAAUUAAUCGUGACGAACACUAGGUGGGACACCAAAAAAAAUGAAGGUACCUUAUUAGGGAUAUGCCAUUGGUACCUCUUACAAUAUCAGAAAUUGCUUUAGGUCAUAUAUUUAAAUUAUAACUGCGUCAUUCUAGAAUUAUUUUUAAAAUUUUGUUAUAUAAAUUUCUGAUCUCGUUACUAGCUAUAUAUAUACCUGUACAUAUCUUUAUCUAAAUGUUGAAUAGAAUUGGAAAAAAAGCAGUACACUAUAUAUGUUAUAGUACAAAUUUUAGUGAAAACUUCGAAGCUCGUACUACUAAUAUAUACUCCCGUUGUCCCAAAUUAUCCGUCCCAAAUUGAGAUAACACAUUAAUUAAAAAAAAAUAAUUAACAACAUGUCUAGUUUACCAUAAUACCCUUGUUAAAUGAUGUUUACAAUUUAAUUUGAAGAAAAAGUAAUUAAUGCAAAAGGUAAAACAUGAAAAAAAAAAAUUGUCUUGUCCUAAUUAAUAAAAAAAAGACAAGUAAAAUGGGACAAUAAAUUAGGAAAUUUGGGACUGAGGGAUUACUUUAAUUUUAUUGCGUAAUGCUCUUUAUAAUAGUACAAAUUUUAAUGAAACUUGGAAGCUUGUACUACUAAUAUAUACAUUAAUUUGAUUUAUAUAUCUUUAUAAUAGUACAAAUUUUAAUGAAACUUGGAAGGUUGUACUACUAAUAUAUACAUUAAUUUGAUUUAUAUAUUUUUUUAUAAUAGUACAAAUUUUAAUGAAACUUGAAAGCCUGUACUACUAAUAUAUACAUUAAUUUGAUUUAUAUAUUUUUAUAAUAGUACAAAUUUUAAUGAAAAUUGGAAGCUUGUACUAAUACUAAUAUAUACUUUAAUUUGAUUCGUAAUAUAUACUAAUAUCUAAUAUAUAUAUAAUAUUUGAUCCAAGAAAAUUUGAAUAAAGUAUGUGAUACCCUGUUGAUGAGUUGGUAUAUAUAACUCCUAUAUGUAUAUUAAAGAGUGUUAUAUAUAAUCAAAUAAAAAUAAGUAAUCACACCACGAAAGAUUGUGGUAAAAUGGUACGUAUCCAUCCUUAUUUAGAGAUUUUGAAUUUGAGAAAAAUUGAUCGAAAAUGAAAUCAUUUUUGACAAAGUGCGCACUUUGCCUACAAAUAGAAUUUUUUGCACAAAUUCAGAUUAAUUAAAACCCAAGUGAAUAUCUAAAAAUAAAAUAUGAGUUUAAGAUAUAUACUACAAACUUCAUACAUUAAUUCCAACAACCUUUCUUGCUUUACAUAGCUAGAAAUCAUAAUGCUAUAAAAUAUUAAUUUAAGCUAUAUACGUCGUCAGGUUCAUUAAAAGAAAUUUACAUGUAAAUCUUUUUACACUGUAGAAUUAAAAUAAGACGAGGCUACCUGUUAUAACCAAAAAAAGAUAACCUGAUAAUGGUUGAUAUAUAAAAAUUUCUUACACUAAUGAUGUAUAUAUAUAACCUAAACUCAUAGAACAAACACACUCAAAUAUUAAUACAAUAACACUAAGCCGUUAUUAUUUGGCCAUAGGCCUAAUGCAUAAAACACUUAAUUUUAAAGUAGAUUACAAACACAUACAACAUUUAUAGUAAGAAAAAACUCAACAAAGAACUAAGUAAAGAUAUGAUUAAUUACCAUAAUAAUCUACCUUAACAAUAAUUUUAAGUCCUAAUAUAGAGCCUAUCAAGAGACUCAAAUGCCAAAGGAUAAAGAAGUUGCCCUUAAUCAAGAUUAAUAAUCUUAAUCAUGAUUAUUAAUCAAGAUUCUUCAUGAAUUAAUGAUAAUAGUUCCCACCACACAUCACAAAAAAAAAAAAAAAAAAACAUUUUUUGCGGCCAUCUUUUUAUUAUAUCUUCAUCUAACGAUCUCAGUCUUUUCUGUUUGCGCAAUAGUUCUUCCUCUUCCUCUUCCUCUUCCUCCAUCGAAUGAAAACUACAAUAAUCAAGUACUUUGACUUAUAAGGAUGAAAUGUUUUUUUGUUUUUGAUUUUUCACCUGGUGUUCGGUAUUCACAUUGGAGCCUUGAAUAAUCCGAUUCACGCGUUGCAGGGCUCAGGGGUAGCGCUUCCAACAGAAUUUUCUCACUCAAAUCGAGACAUCUGAUUAAGGAUGAAGCAGUCCUUGAUGUUGGUACAAGGAUGAAAUGUUGGUGAUGUUCGUGAAGGCAAAUAUAAAGAGUGAAAUGAAGGUGACUUAAGUAGGGAGAAUAUGAUCACUUUUAUAUUUAUUUAAAAGAAGAACAAAAUGAAAGUAGGAAAAAAAAUUAAAAAAAUGAGAAGUUAGUUGACAAGUGUAGAAUCUUAUAAGGGAUAUGCCAAUUGGUACCUCUUAUAUUACAAAAAAAAAAAAAAAAAGAAGUUAUUUCUAUUAAUGGCCUCAUAUUCC